rfam:Picea glauca, whole genome shotgun sequence.
AGAAAUACACCUUGAUGGUUGAGUAUCACCUUGAUGAGGUGGAAGCCAUUAGUUCAAGCCUAAUUAUCCCUA